GAUGAAGAACGUAGCGAAAUGCGAUAAGUAAUGUGUAUUGCAGAAUUCAGUGAAUCAUCGAAUCUUUGAACGCACAUUGCGCCCGCCAGUAUUCUGGCGGGCAUGCCUGUUCGAGCGUCAUUACAACCCUCAGGCCCCCGGGCCUGGCGUUGGGGAUCGGCGGAGCCCCCCGUGGGCACACGCCGUCCCCCAAAUGCAGUGGCGGUCCCGCCGCAGCUUCCAUCGCGUAGUAGCUAACACCUCGCGACUGGAGAGCGGCGCGGCCACGCCGUAAAACACCCAACUCUUCUGAAGUUGACCUCGAAUCAGGUAGGAAUACCCGCUGAACUUAAGCAUAUCAAUAAGCGGAGGA
rnacentral:misc_RNA from 1 species